UACGUAGGGGGCUAGCGUUGUCCGGAAUCAUUGGGCGUAAAGCGCGUGUAGGCGGUCCGGUAAGUCCGCUGUGAAAGUCGGGGGCUCAACCCUCGGAUGCCGGUGGAUACUGCAGGGCUAGAGUCCGGAAGAGGCGAGUGGAAUUCCUGGUGUAGCGGUGAAUGCGCAGAUAUCAGGAGGAACACCGAUAGCGAAGGCAGCUCGCUGGGACGGUACUGACGCUGAGGCGCGAAGCGUGGGGAGCGAACAGG
rnacentral:rRNA from 1 species